rnacentral:lncRNA from 1 species
GUCAGGUCCGCUGAAUGUUACACAGAGGUGGACCCGGGUGGAUGCUGAGCACCCGUCACGGCUCAGAAAUCUCAAGCUUGGGAAACAAUCGUUUAGAGAAGGCUGCUAGCACUCCUGCCCGCGUUUUGCCCUGGAGGGAGACACUAUUCUCCAAAGUGAGAGGUAUGAUUUUAUUAUCCUGGUCAGGAGGAAAAAUCUGCUCUCUUUCCAGGAGGGAGAAACUAUCUGGAUCAUCUGAGAUACUCAAGUACUCUUAAAAAGACAGUCUGGAAUAAAAGCUGUCAAAGACUUUUCACUAUACAUGCAGAAAUGCAAGCGACCCAUGGAGAAUUGUCUUCAAAUAGUCUAGAAGGGGUUCUUCUGUUCCUGUCUGCUCUGGCCAACCUGUUAUCCUUCAAAACCUAGCGCAGGCACCCCUGUCUGCAGGACGCCCUCUUUCCUUGCUCCAGGCUGGUUACACGCCCUCCAUUCUGCAGGACCUGUAAAGUACUGUGCCUUCUGCUGGUCACAUUGAACUGGAAGUAGCCCCACGGCUCAGCAACCCCCAGGUUUGAGUCUUGUUCUCACUCUAGACCAUAAAAAUUCCUUCCUACAGAUUUGGAAAAGAUGUCCCUUCCUCUGAGUGGACGUGGGCCCAAGACAGGGUGUAGGCUCUGACAAGUGGCACAUAGACUGAAUUUCAGCUCCACUUGUCCCCUCAGCCAUGCAACUUUGGCAGUGAACACCCUCUGUGCCCAUAUGGGCUAGCCUUGAAUUGAUUUACCUUUUCAAGAAGAUCCGAGACUUCCCGUACCUGCCCCCACCCAGGAACUUGGAGGAUCCCUGCAACAAACCUGGAAGGUUAGGAUAGAAUAUGCAUUCUCAUUUUAAGAAUGGGGAAACAGAGGCAUGAAGCUAUUAAGGACGUGCACAGGGUUUGCAGCUGGGCUGGAGCCCAGGUCUUCUGGCUCUAGUUCAGUUCUUCCCACUGUACUGCUGAGUAGGUUUUCUGACCCUGAAGACAAACAUUUCAGUUUCCUGCUGGCUUAGGGCUGUGUGGGCUGCAAAGAGGAGGUUCUGGUACAGCUUUCCUGGAAGCCAGCAUUUCCCAGCAAACUGGGGAGGAGAAAAGCUACCACUGGGAGGUGGCACUUUUCUCUCCAAAGCCCUUCUCCAUGUGACCUUCCUGUGAAGGUAAGGCCUGCUGCCAGCCACAGCUGCUUCCUCUCCUCCACCAAUGAGCCCUCUGAGCCCUGGAUCCCAGCCAGCUGAGCGGGUACCUGGCAACCAGACUCGCAAAUGUGUGCCCAGCUUUGCCCUGAUGAGUGGGGAGGGCAGGCAUCAGAACCCAGAGCAGGGCAGGUGCCUCAUUUACCCUCUGAACCCCAGCUCCACCCCAAGCCUGGGCCAUACCUGGCCCACAGGGUGGUUGGGGAAACAAAAUCCCCUAACCUUUCCCACCAGGCUUAUGAGCCUGAAGAUGGGUUUUGAAGAAUGUAUGGACAUCUGCCAGCACCUGUGAGACUGCAUAGGCCCAGCAGGUGGCAGGGUGCUGCUGGCCUGAGAGCUGGGGAAUGAGGCUGUGUUGCCCAGGCCAGCCCAGGACCGACGGGAGCUUGGAAGCAGAGGAAGAGUGCUGUCUGCAUUGGCAGGGAUUGGGGUGAGGGUGGUGGGGGGCAAUCUGGGAUCAUGGCUGGGUGUCCUCACCAUCUGGGUAUUUGCCUUUUAUUCAACAUUGGUGACGCCAACCUCCAGGACCAGGAUGCAUCUGGCACCACACCUUGCAGCUCCCAUCGUGCUGGCCCAGGUCCAGAGUCUAACAGGUGUUUGUUGACUGGCUGAGUGAGCUGGUUGGUGCCCAGGAAUUUAACUCAGCCCAUUCCAGCUGCCAUUACCUGGAUGCCCAGCUCAGGGCCACUCAUGCUGGUGCUCCACAUGAGCUCUGCGCUGGUUCUCAGGGCCUCGCAAAGCGCUGACCUGUGGGAAGCACUCAUGAGUACCUACUUCCAAUCAAUGCUGAGGACACAGACACAAAUGGUGCAACUCUGGUGGAGAAAACAGAGGCCUCAGCUGGGUGCAGUGGCUCACACCUGUAAUCCCAGCACUUUGGGAGGCCAAGGCAGCUGGAUUACUUGAGGUCAGGAGUUUGAGACCAGCCUGGCCAAUAUGGCAAAACCCCGUCUCUACUGAAAAUACAAAAAUUAGCCAGGCGUGGUGGCGGGCGCCUGUAAUCCCAGCUACUCGAGAAGCAGAGGCAGGAGAAUUGCUUGAACCCGGGAGGCAGAGGUUGCACAGUGAGCUGAGAUUGA